UUGAAAGCUGGCGCCUUCGGCGUCCGCAUUGUAAUCUCAAGAAGCAUUUUCCGCUUCGGACCAAGCCUAAGUCCCUUGGAAAAGGGCAUCGUAGAGGGUGAGAAUCCCGUACAUGGCUUGGAGCGCCCGAGGCUUUGUGAUAUGCAUUCUAAGAGUCGAGUUGUUUGGGAAUGCAGCUCAAAAUGGGUGGUAAAUGCCAUCUAAGGCUAAAUAUUGGGGAGAGACCGAUAGCGAACAAGUACCGUGAGGGAAAGAUGAAAAGAACUUUGAAAAGAGAGUUAAACAGUACGUGAAAUUGCCAAAAGGGAAGGGUAGGAGGUCAGAGAUGCGGCGUGGGAUUCAGCCUUGCUUUUGCUUGGUGUUUUUCCCUCAUUGCAGGCCAACGUCGGUUUUGGACACUGGAGAAUGGUGAGGGGAAUGUGGCACUCUUCGGGGUGUGUUAUAGCCUCUUACUGGAUACAGCGGCCGGGACCGAGGAACGCAGCGUACUCGAAAGA
rnacentral:rRNA from 1 species